rnacentral:lncRNA from 1 species
GCCCCUAUCUUCUCUCCACAGCCCCCAUCGCCUCCACCACAGCGGCCUCCUCUCCACGCCGCCCUCCUCCUCCUCCACGGCCGCCUCCUCCUCCACCGUCGCCUUCCUCCUUCGAUUAAGGUACUUGUGUAACAAAAAAUGGUUAUAAUUUUGAUUUUGGCUCUAUCAGCCUUCGAUUAAGGUACUGUUGUUUGUUUAUAAUUCACUGAUCAUGAUUAUAUUCUUAGGGUUUAUAUGAUUCAGCAAAUUCUUUUAAUUGUCAAAUAAUUCAUCUUCUCCAUCACGAUACCAUUCUUCAACUCCAUCACUGUAACACUCUCCCACCGGAAAAAAAAACACUCAAAAUAGUUAUUAACUCACCAUACACAAACACAAACACAAACCCUAAUUGCUUUAUGCCGCUGUUCAUGUUCACCUUUUAGAAGCUCUUCACUUCAUAUCAAGAUGAGCAAGCAUUCCUUUCGGUCUGGUUUGAUUUCCAUUUUCCGAUACAGCCUUUUUAAUUCCAUUUUCUGAUUCAGCCUUUUCCCUUUUACUCGUUUUAAUACUUCUACAAUUUUUUAAUUCAUAGUUUGUCUGUAAAAUCGCAGGAGUCGACGAUCGUUGUAGCUGAAUGCCAGAUGGUUUUACUUGUUUCGUGUAAACACUCUUUGAUCGUGAUUUCUCUGUUUAAAGAAAGAAAUCUGUAUACCCUGGAGUCGUGUGUGUUACCGAGGUGAUGUUCCUCCAUAGCUGUUUACAUUACGCUCCAACCUCAUGAAGCCCUGUUCUCCCCAGCCCGUUCCCCAACUAUUCUUGAUUAUCCAGUAAUCCACAUCAUCUUCUCUACCAUAACCGACUAUGGUUAUGGUAUGAUUGAUGGAAUCAAUGUCUUCACAUGGAGCUUGGAAUCUGUAAAUACCCUGUACAUUCAGUGAAACAAUGUUAGCCAAAUGAAUACCUUAUUAUUUUCUAUUGAUUAA